CAAAGGAGCUGCAGGACCUGGCCAAUGUGUACCAGCGGAAGCUGGGAGAGUAUGCAUGAAAAUGUAUCCUGAGGAAUGGGUGGAACAUAGAUUUGGAUAAGGGAGUGUUUACCAAUAUGGAGUUCCCUGAUAUGUAAUUUAACACACUAGCAAGGAUUCUAGGAGAUGGCACUAACGUGCUACUAGAAUGGCUCCUAGAAGCUUGGAGAAAGUGAAGGUCCACCUAUGCUGAGUGAAGUACAUGAUAUGACAGAUGACAGAGGAAGGGAGGCAUGCUGGAACGGAUAUACUAUCUGAGACUGGAAGACCCACCCGUUGACUAAGUUCCACAGGGAAGCCUAGAGGGUCACCAGCAUUGAUAAGGAUCUCGGUAGGGAUUGGCUUCUGUAGGCCAGGAAUGGUGGUAGGCGAUGUGGUUAUAGAACACAUCGCCUACAUAGGGCUCGCUGACAGCAACGGGGAUGCCAGAAUCUUGAAAGGCAGAGGCCAGGUGGCUGAAUCAAGAGCACUCUUCAGAACAGAUGGAUCCACCCCUGACUCCUGGGAAUACUUGCUGAUAAUGGUCCACAGCUCUGGCCUUCAAGGGGCAUUGCUGUCAAUCGCAGAGAACUGCCUCACCCAAGAUAUGCACACCCCCUCCUAGGGGACAACCUAUGGCCAACAGCUGGCUGGUAUUGGGGUAGAAAGGCUUGACCUUUUAUCUCAAUUUGGGACAACUCCCAGGGAUCAUCCAACUUCAGAGUUCCCAUCUGGAUUGCCUGAAGUCUCUGUUGCAACCACACCAUGGCCUACAGGAAUGGAGAGGCAAGGAGGACCAGAGUGAAGUGGAAACUUUGAACUUGGAGUUGGAAGACCUUGGUGGAGAAUUCGUGCUAUGCUCCUGUGGAAGAGUUUGGAGGAAAAUUCCCAAUUGCAGUAGCAUCUAAGAGGCAAAGCG